rnacentral:rRNA from 1 species
ACGGCUCACCAAGGCAACGAUGCAUAGCCGACCUGAGAGGGUGAACGGCCACACUGGGACUGAGACACGGCCCAAACUCCUACGGGAGGCAGCAGUGGGGAAUAUUGCACAAUGGGGGAAACCCUGAUGCAGCGACGCCGCGUGAGUGAAGAAGUAUUUCGGUAUGUAAAGCUCUAUCAGCAGGGAAGAAGAUGACGGUACCUGAGUAAGAAGCCCCGGCUAACUAC